rnacentral:lncRNA from 1 species
ACUGUCAAACUCAAAAGAUCAAUUUUGUUCUCUCCAGAUACGAGGUUGAUAAGAACAUCUAACAAAACAGAGUUCUAAAAUAUAGAAGCAAAAUCAUUCAAAAUACUUCAAAAUAACUAUCCUUCAAAACAACUCCCGAUUCUAUUGGGUAACAAAUUCGAGCUGCACUUCGUCAUCGAGGCAAAACUUCAGUGCAUCAACUAAUGCUGCAUGUUCUUCGUGGGUCCAAGACCGUCUUGAUUUGCCCACCCGCAUUUGACAAGAAGUAAUAAAUCAAACUCUAUUAAUUAAAAAUAGAUACAUCAAACUCUAUCAAUUAAAAGCAACGGCACCACGGCCGAUCAACCAGUGCUUCACAACGGUAGCAGAAACUGCUCCCACAUUUGUAAUCAAGUCUUUUUAGAUAUCUUUGAUUCUCUUUAGUUUCGACUCCAGCAAGAGAAGCCUAUGUUGGCACUCAACAGUUGAGCAAUAUCAAGAAAAACAGAAAAAAGUCGAAAGAAGCAUCAACUCGACAUAAUAUGCAUUUCACAUGGUUAUCUUCACUGGUGUUGGGGUUACUAGCAAGAGAUGAUGGAGCUGCAGUAAAGCAUGUAAUACUGAAUGAAAAUCACGACUUAUCGUUUUACCCGAGCGUCUAAAAUCAAACUUCACAAUACGGUUCUUAGUAUGGUGUGCUAAGAUUACCAAAAAAGAUGCAACUUUCUCUUCAAUCCCAAUAUUUUUGGUUGGAACUAGGCCUCCAACGUGUUCCAAAAGAAUAUCACAUAAAACAAAAGCUAAUCAAACAUUAUAUUUAACUUUGAAUUUAUCUUCCAAUUUCUCGAUUAGAUUUAUGGAAAGGCAGAAUUUAUCUAACCCUGCCGGUGAUAUUCAGCAAUGGCGAUGGGAGGCAGACGGCGGAGCGACGGUCGAGGCUGAGACAGCGGGAGAGAGACCACUCACGAGCACUCUGUAGGGUUCCAAAUUGAGAGAGAGACGAUGGGAAAUAGAGACAACGAGAGAGAGAGAGAGAGCGACUGACCGAUAAUCAAGCAGGUGGCGAGGCAGACGGCGGAGCUGGGUGGAGCGGCCACCGGGGCUGAGCAGAGCGGCGCUGAUCAGAGAAGAUUUUUGGGAUUUCUAAUGUUUACAGGAGAGAAUGAGAGAGUCGCCUAACCUUACAUUUUCAGAGGGUAAAAUUGAAAAGUUAAAAAAAUUGAAAUGUUGGAAAAUAUUUUCGCACCCUCACAAUAGGAUAAU